rnacentral:rRNA from 1 species
UGCAAGUCGAGCGGUAGAGAGGUGCUUGCACCUCUUGAGAGCGGCGGACGGGUGAGUAAAGCCUAGGAAUCUGCCUGGUAGUGGGGGAUAACGCUCGGAAACGGACGCUAAUACCGCAUACGUCCUACGGGAGAAAGCAGGGGACCUUCGGGCCUUGCGCUAUCAGAUGAGCCUAGGUCGGAUUAGCUAGUUGGUGAGGUAAUGGCUCACCAAGGCGACGAUCCGUAACUGGUCUGAGAGGAUGAUCAGUCACACUGGAACUGAGACACGGUCCAGACUCCUACGGGAGGCAGCAGUGGGGAAUAUUGGACAAUGGGCGAAAGCCUGAUCCAGCCAUGCCGCGUGUGUGAAGAAGGUCUUCGGAUUGUAAAGCACUUUAAGUUGGGAGGAAGGGCAUUAACCUAAUACGUUAGUGUUUUGACGUUACCGACAGAAUAAGCACCGGCUAACUCUGUGCCAGCAGCCGCGGUAAUACAGAGGGUGCAAGCGUUAAUCGGAAUUACUGGGCGUAAAGCGCGCGUAGGUGGUUCGUUAAGUUGGAUGUGAAAUCCCCGGGCUCAACCUGGGAACUGCAUUCAAAACUGUCGAGCUAGAGUAUGGUAGAGGGUGGUGGAAUUUCCUGUGUAGCGGUGAAAUGCGUAGAUAUAGGAAGGAACACCAGUGGCGAAAGCGACCACCUGGACUGAUACUGACACUG